rnacentral:rRNA from 3 species
ACAAACGACUCUCGGCAACGGAUAUCUCGGCUCACGCAUCGAUGAAGAACGUAGCAAAAUGCGAUACUUGGUGUGAAUUGCAGAAUCCCGUGAACCAUCGAGUUUUUGAACGCAAGUUGCGCCCGAAGCCUUUUGGCCGAGGGCACGUCUGCCUGGGCGUCACGC